ACUCCUACGGGAGGCAGCAGUGGGGAAUUUUGGACAAUGGGCGCAAGCCUGAUCCAGCAAUGCCGCGUGCAGGAUGAAGGCCUUGGGGUUGUAAACUGCUUUUGUACGGAACGAAAAGCCGUGGGUUAAUACCUUGGGGUCAUGACGGUACCGUAAGAAUAAGCACCGGCUAACUACGUGCCAGCAGCCGCGGUAAUACGUAGGGUGCAAGCGUUAAUCGGAAUUACCGGGCGUAAAGCGCGCGCAGGCGGUCUCGUAAGUCAGAGGUGAAAUCCCCGGGCUCAACCUGGGAACUGCCUCUGUGACUGCAAGGCUAGAGUACGGCAGAGGGGGAUGGAAUUCCGCGUGUAGCAGUGAAACGCGUAGAUAUGCGGAGGAACACCGAUGGCGAAGGCAAUCCCCUGGGCCCGUACUGACGCUCAUGCACGAAAGCGUGGGGAGCAAACAGGAUCAGAUACCCUGGCAGUCCACCCCCUAAACGAUGUCAAAGGGUUGUUGGGUCUUAAAGCAUUCAGUAACGAAGCUAACGCGUGAAGUUGACCGCCUGGGGAGUACGCCCGCAAGGUUGAAACUCAAAGGAAUUGACGG
rnacentral:rRNA from 1 species